CCACUGCGCCACCAGGGAAGCCCGCAAAUCAUAUUUUAGUGAGAAAAAAAAAAGUUAAAUCCAAUCGUCUCUUCAGUAACAUAAAAAGUCACCCUCUCUUGGGCUCGCAGUGAAACUGGAUUCAUUCAUUACAUAAUGCAACUUGGAAAAAACAGGUUCCAAAGAGAAAAGUAAGACAAACGUGCUUAUUUGUAAAUAGAAUUCACACUCCUUUAACCUCAAGAUUAUGAAAUGACCAGAGUGGAGGUGAGGAUAUUUCACAAAGCACACAGCUCUUUAUCAUCACUUACAGAUGUUACUCUCCCACUAUGACAUACCACAUACCACCCUUUGCAAGCAAAUGUUCUGAGCUAAAUAAGUUAAGUGACUUCCUUAAUAUCACACUUGAAGUCUCCUGAAAGUUCACGCCUGAGAACACAGAAACGUACAGGUGCUGGUGAAUCGUCAUCCCUUGCAGUUUACACAGUGGCUAAUCUACGGAAGGCCUGAGUCUUUGACAUGUGCAGUGCCAGCCUGGGUGCCCAGACAGCACGUCAACUCUCCAUGUACUGAACUGAAACUGGUUGGACUGAAUCAAGUUGUUAAAAAACACAGCAACAACGAUUACAACGUUGGAGGGUGGAUGUGCAGUGGCCUAAAUAAAAUGACU